AUUGAACGCUGGCGGCAGGCCUAACACAUCCAAGUCGAGCGGAUGAAGGGAGCUUGCUCCUGGAUUCAGCGGCGGACGGGUGAGUAAUGCCUAGGAAUCUGCCUGGUAGUGGGGGAUAACGUCCGGAAACGGGCGCUAAUACCGCAUACGUCCUGAGGGAGAAAGUGGGGGAUCUUCGGACCUCACGCUAUCAGAUGAGCCUAGGUCGGAUUAGCUAGUUGGUGGGGUAAAGGCCUACCAAGGCGACGAUCCGUAACUGGUCUGAGAGGAUGAUCAGUCACACUGGAACUGAGACACGGUCCAGACUCCUACGGGAGGCAGCAGUGGGGAAUAUUGGACAAUGGGCGAAAGCCUGAUCCAGCCAUGCCGCGUGUGUGAAGAAUGUCUUCGGAUUGUAAAGCACUUUAAGUUGGGAGGAAGGGCAGUAAGUUAAUACCUUGCUGUUUUGACGUUACCAACAGAAUAAGCACCGGCUAACUUCGUG
rnacentral:rRNA from 1 species